rnacentral:lncRNA from 1 species
UCAAAUUUGUGGUCACAAAACCACUAUUCCGAUUAGGCCCUAAUUCGAGAUAUUACAAUACACAUUAACUACGUGGAUGUCACGUCAACAAAAUUAACAUUUGUUAACUUUUUCAUUUACUUUGGGUUGAUUUGAUAAACGAUAUAAACUCAAGAGUUAAAAAAGGUGAAAAAUUAAAUGGAGGGUUAAAAUAAUUGUUAAGCCCAAUUUAUGCCCAGGGCCCAAUACAUUUAAAACCCAAAACAAUUAACUAAGUAAACCUAACCCAAUCUCUAAGCCCAAUACACCCAAUAACCCAAUACCCCAAAACCCACCUAAACCUCUCUCCAGCGCUGCACACCCGAAGCAGCCCCCCCUCCCACACGCUGCUACCCACCUCCGCAUCGUACGUCGUUGCUCGCGCAACCCACGGCUUCCGUGAUCCUCGCCAUACCUACAAACGUACAACAGCAAAAUAUUUGUAAAAAGGGCUAUAAAAGCCCUCGAAAAACACUGUAAAAGGGAUCUUUUUUCGAAUAUAAUAGAGAAUGUACAAAAGUCAAGAGUAAAUCGAGAAUCGGGACUAAGGUUCGAAAGGUGAUUUUUCAUUCUUUUUUUGGAAUUUUCUCUUGAUUCGGAUUUCGUUUGUUCUUUUUCUUUUCCAUUAUUUUUCAAACAGUUUUAAAAAACAAGAGAGGGAGAGAGGGGACUUACCGGCAAACUCGCGAAGUCGGCGGCCUCGGCGCGCCGAAUCUACGAUGAAGGCGGCGCCGGUCGAAAAGGAAAAGUUUUGAGAGCUUUCUCUCUGUUUUUUAGGAAAAAUAAGAGAAAUGAUGGAUAAAUUUUUUUGGGUUUUCUAAAAGGUUCUUUAAUGUUUUAAAAAAAUUAAAAGGAAAGCUUCAUUUGUUUUUAUUUUUUUAUUCUCAAAAGCAGAGCCCGAGGAAGGGGAAAAGU